AACAUAUCUUUACAGUUCU
rnacentral:snRNA from 1 species